AGUGAACGCUGGCGGUAGGCCUAACACAUGCAAGUCGAACGGCAGCACAGUAAGAGCUUGCUCUUACGGGUGGCGAGUGGCGGACGGGUGAGGAAUACAUCGGAAUCUACUUUUUCGUGGGGGAUAACGUAGGGAAACUUACGCUAAUACCGCAUACGACCUACGGGUGAAAGCAGGGGAUCUUCGGACCUUGCGCGAUUGAAUGAGCCGAUGUCGGAUUAGCUAGUUGGCGGGGUAAAGGCCCACCAAGGCGACGAUCCGUAGCUGGUCUGAGAGGAGGAUAGGCCACACGGGAGCGUGAAAGCGGUCCAGGCGCCUGCGAGAGGCCGCAGUGGGGAAUAUUGGGCAGUGGGCGCGAGCCUGAUACAGCGAUCCCGCGUGGGUGAAGAAGGCGUCCGGGUUGUAAAGACCUUUUGUGGGGAAAGAAAAGCAGCAGGUUAAUACCCAGCUGUUCUGACGGUAACCAAAGAAUAAGCACCGGCUAACUUCGUG
rnacentral:rRNA from 1 species